CCCUUAGAUGUCCGGGGCUGCACGCGCGCUACACUGAAGGAAUCAGCGGGCUAAAACCAUUGUCGAAAGGCAUUGGUAAACCCAUUAAAAUCCUACGUGAUUGGGAUCGGGAAUUGCAAUUAUUUCCCUUGAACGAGGAAUUCCCAGUAAGUGUGGGUCAUAAGCUCGCGUUGAUUACGUCCCUGCCCUUUGUACACACCGCCCGUCGCUGCCCGGGACUGAGCCGUUUCGAGAAAAGCGGGGACUGCUGCUGUCGGGGCUUUCGGGCCUUGGCUUCGGUGGAAACCGCUUUAAUCGCAGUGGCUUGAACCGGGCAAAAGUCGUAACA
rnacentral:rRNA from 1 species